UAAAGAUAUGUUUAAAAUUGGAAAUACUGUAUAGCAUUUUUCUGUUGCAGUCUCUGCAAGUACUGUCCUUUGCUGUAGAUAAGCUGAGUCUUGUUACAGUUGAGGAAGUCUGUCCAUCCUUAGACAACACUGGGGCAUUCAGACUGGCCAAUUGUUCAUGAUUUGGCCUGGAACAAUCCUGUGACCCACGUAUUUCCACUCCUUACUUGAUUCCAGUAUUUUGGAGCUAUGCAAAGUAUGGGAAGAGUUUUCCUGGUACCUCCUCCAAGUAGUUUUCUGCCAAUUUGAAAAAGAGGCUGUCUGGAGGUGAUGAGCAGGCUAUCACAGUGCAAACAUGAAGAGUAGCUACAAAAUUUGGAUAUUACACAUUCAGAAAUGGUGUCAGUAGUACUGUGUUGAGCCCGAUCCUUCCCACUUACUGGGACGAACCUUUAAAAAGCAGCAGCAGGUUUUGGGGAUCAGGACUAGGCAUAGAGAGUGCUGAGGUUUUUUCCUUCUUGUUCUGAGAUGUUGCAGCUAUUUGCUUUCAUUGCAGAGUUUUCUUACGUGUGAGCAGGACUGUAACAAGAAGAAUACAUCAAAAGUUAGCCCCAGGGUCCGUUCCCGGAGCAGAGAUGCGUGUGUUCUGAACGACUCCCUUGCACUAUUCUCCUGCUUGUCAGGCAGUGAUUGUGCCUGAUUUUUACCAUGUUUUUACCCACAUCUGCAGUUGUGGUUACAGCUGUAUCAAUGACAUCUCAAUAAGCAAAGUGUGCAGUGCAGCCAUGCCUCAAAGCCCAGGCAAGUAUGAUGACUUCUAAGCUUAGAUCUUACUGGUUCGAAUCUCACUGAAUGAAUUGGAUGUCAAAAGGGACCUUAAAGGACUAGGAAGGGUGGGAAGUAUGAGUGAACUGCUGCAACUUUUACCCAUUAAUGGUUUUGAUGUGGAUGGAAAAAAAACAUCAUAUUCAUUGUACUGUGAGUUGGUUACAACUGGAGGGGGAAGUGCUUAUUUUAAUAAUUUCUGGUGGAGAAAAAAGUUCAUGUCACUUUGAAAAGGCCACAAAUCUUAACAAAGUGUGAAGGGAGAAAACCAAGUCAGAGAUUGCUUACUUAGGCAAGAGUGUAGGAGGGAGGGAAGGAAUAGUGAAAAGAUAGUUUCCAUGUAGUGCAGUUACCAGAAAUGAUGUGGUGACUCUUUGAAGCAGUGAUUCAGUGUAUUUUCAUCACCCAGUUAUUGCAAAUCAGAUUUUUUUUUCUCUUACCCGUUAGCUUUGUGAGGGUUGUGAUUUCACUUCAUAUGGGGACACAGGAGGAUAAAGCUAUCGUAUAUCUUAUCUCUGCACAUUAGAAGUACUGAGGAUUGGUAUGAAAAGUAAUUGACUGUGUAUGUGUUAAUUCUUGCCUGGGUUCCUACUUUGCUGUAUAUUUAAG
rnacentral:lncRNA from 1 species